ACGAACGCUGGCGGCGUGCUUAACACAUGCAAGUCGAACGGAAAGGCCCUGCUUGCAGGGUACUCGAGUGGCGAACGGGUGAGUAACACGUGAGUAACCUGCCCUUGACUUCGGGAUAACUUCAGGAAACUGGGGCUAAUACCGGAUAGGAAUCCUUGCUGCAUGGUGGGGGUUGGAAAGCUUCGGCGGUUUUGGAUGGACUCGCGGCUUAUCAGCUUGUUGGUGGGGUAGUGGCUUACCAAGGCUUUGACGGGUAGCCGGCCUGAGAGGGCGACCGGCCACAUUGGGACUGAGAUACGGCCCAGACUCCUACGGGAGGCAGCAGUGGGGAAUAUUGCACAAUGGGCGGAAGCCUGAUGCAGCAACGCCGCGUGCGGGAUGACGGCCUUCGGGUUGUAAACCGCUUUCAGCAGGGGCGAAGCUUGUGGUGACGGUACCUGCAGAAGAAGCACCGGCUAACUACGUG
rnacentral:rRNA from 1 species